UCAAAUAUUUCAAUUUUUUAUACUUUAAUAUUAACUCUAAUUGAAAUGUAGGUCAUAAUUAUGAAAAUAUAGGAUACAUCCAAUUAUUAUUUAGAAAUCUGUCUGUUGGUCUUGUGAAGACCCAGAUACAGUAUGUUUGAGAGUAGAUAGUGAUUGGUUAACUGUAGAGGCCCCUCCCUCUGGUCCUCCCUGUCUGUCUCCUUAAUUGUGGGUCCUGCAGCCUCUCCUCUCCUCACAGUCCAAUCAUGCUCAUCUCUCAGCUGGACAGUAAGGGCCGUUCACACCACACACUGACAACAUGCUGGGGACACUCUGUACUCUCAUCACUGCUCUAACAUGUGUCAGUGGUGUGACUGUGGUGACACAGAAGCCUCCUGUUGUGAUGGAGAGGAAAGGAGAGACAGCCUCUCUGGACUGUAACCUGGGGCCUUCUGGUAAUAGAGCCGGCCACUCUGGACUGUAACCUGGGGACUGUUGACAAUAGAGAUGGCCACUCUGGACUGUAACCUGGGGACUGUUUAUAAUAGAGACGGCCACUCUGGACUAUAACCUGGGGACUGUUGAUAAUAGAGACGGCCACUCUGGACUGUAACCUGGGGACUGUUUAUAAUAGAGAUGGCCACUAUGGACUGUAACCUGGGGACUGUUGAUAAUAGUGCUGGUUGGUAUAAACAGGUUCCAGGAGGAGUUCCUCAGUACAUGUUAAGGUGGUACCACACUGGUUGGAGAUCUGUAGAAUAUGGUUCUGGUUUCUCCUCUCCUAAAUUCACAUCUAAUCAUCAGUCUAAAUCAGAUUAUCGUUUGAUUA